rnacentral:rRNA from 1 species
UGGUGGGUAACGGCCUACCAAGGCGACGAUGCGUAGCCGACCUGAGANGGUGAUCGGCCACACUGGGACUGAGACCCGGCCCAGAUUCCUACGGGAGGCAGCAGUAGGAAUCUUCCGCAAUGGACGAAAGUCUGACGGAGCAACGCCGCGUGAGUGAUGAAGGCCUUCGGGUCGUAAAACUCUGUUAUCAGGGAAGAACAAGUGUCGUUUAACUGACGGCGCCUUGACGGUACCUGACCAGAAAGCCACGGCUAACUACGUGCCAGCAGCCGCGGUAAUACGUAGGUGGCAAGCGUUGUCCGGAAUUAUUGGGCGUAAAGCGCGCGCAGGCGGCUUCUUAAGUCUGAUGUGAAAGCCCACGGCUCAACCGUGGAGGGUCAUUGGAAACUGGGAGGCUUGAGUGCAGAAGAGAAGAGCGGAAUUCCACGUGUAGCGGUGAAAUGCGUAGAGAUGUGGAGGAACACCAGUGGCGAAGGCGGCUCUUUGGUCUGUAACUGACGCUGAGGCGCGAAAGCGUGGGGAGAGAACAGGAUUAGAUACCCUGGUAUUCCACGCCGUAAACGAUGAGUGCUAAGUGUUAGGGGGUUUCCGCCCCUUAGUGCUGCAGCAAACGCAUUAAGCACUCCGCCUGGGGAGUACGGCCGCAAGGCUGAAACUCAAAGGAAUUGACGGGGGCCCGCACAAGCGGUGGAGCAUGUGGUUUAAUUCGAAGCAACGCGAAGAACCUUACCAGGUCUUGACAUCCCGCUGAUCACUCUGGAGACAGAGUUUUCCCUUCGGGGACAGCGGUGACAGGUGGUGCAUGGUUGUCGUCAGCUCGUGUCGUGAGAUGUUGGGUUAAGUCCCGCAACGAGCGCAACCCUUGAUCUUAGUUGCCAGCAUUUAGUUGGGCACUCUAAGGUGACUGCCGGUGACAAACCGGAGGAAGGUGGGGAUGACGUCAAAUCAUCAUGCCCCUUAUGACCUGGGCUACACACGUGCUACAAUGGAUGGUACAGAGGGCAGCAAGACCGCGAGGUGGAGCAAAUCCCUUAAAACCAUUCUCAGUUCGGAUUGCAGGCUGCAACUCGCC